rnacentral:piRNA from 1 species
UGAUAGAAAAAUGCUUCGGACAAAGUGA